AUGUAUCCAGUAGCUUGGGCUGUUGUGGAGAAGGAGACAAAUGAGAGUUGGGCCUGGUUCAUUGGUCUUUUAAUCAAAGACUUGGACAUUCUGAUAAGCAAAAAGUUAAAUUUAUUUACUGCCUUAUUCAAUUAUUGA
rnacentral:rRNA from 1 species